GGGGAAUAUUGGACAAUGGGGGAAACCCUGAUCCAGCGACGCCGCGUGGGUGAAGAAGGCCUGCGGGUUGUAAAGCCCUUUCGGUGGGGAAGAAAAGCCUCGACCUAACACGUCGGGGUGUUGACGUAACCCACAAAAGAAGCACCGGCUAACUCUGUGCCAGCAGCCGCGGUAAUACAGAGGGUGCGAGCGUUAAUCGGAAUUACUGGGCGUAAAGCGCACGUAGGCGGCUUAGCAAGUCGGGUGUGAAAUCCCCGGGCUCAACCUGGGAACUGCAUUCGAGACUGCUUUGCUUGAGUAUGGGAGAGGGAGGCGGAAUUUCCGGUGUAGCGGUGAAAUGCGUAGAUAUCGGAAGGAACAUCAGUGGCGAAAGCGGCCUCCUGGACCAAUACUGACGCUCAUGUGCGAAAGCGUGGGGAGCAAAC
rnacentral:rRNA from 1 species